UAUUAUCUACAUAUAGCAUUCUUCAGACAUUCCAAAGACAUUCUAAUCUUUUCAAAAUAUUUCAACGUUUACCAAAUUGUAUAGUGGAAAUUAAUGGGCCGAUGAAUAUAUUUUGAAAUUUCCUAACGCUCGAUUUCUGUGAGAAAAAAUGUAGUUAAGCAAUAAUUUCAUGGCAGUAUGAGAAAAGUAGAGGAAUGAAAUCUUUCCGGACGUUCCACGUUAUUCAAAUAGUUUCUCUUUAAAGACGUAAUACUUUAUAAGACAAACGGAAAGGAAUCGUCAUUCUGACUUGAAUAGUUUCGGUAACGUGACUUUUCUCUUUCUGAUCACCGUGUAAUUAGUAACAAGCAUUAUUUUCCAACUCGACGUGACAAAUUAUGUUAAUUGUAUAUAAUACAGCAAGCGUAGCGACGUAGUUCCAAAUUUUGCCGCUUGUAUGUAAGCGUGCAUUACUGAAACGUUAUACGCCAUCUAUGAUAAAACAUUUCAAGCUUCUACUUGUGAUCUCUGCUGAUUACGUUUAGUCAUCGGUUUUGUCCCAGGUGAUAUGGAACAUGAAUACUACCAGGCUUCUGGGCAUCGUUGCUCAAUUGAAGCCACAAGAGAUAACGACGAUUGGCUGCUACCAUAGAAAUUCAUGAUGGCUGUCAACCGCCGAGAACAUAUUACAUCCGUCUUCCGUGUUAUUGCAAAGCACAGUAGUUAACCUCGGACACCAAGGUAGCCCUGACCAUAAAGACCAGGAACGUAUCCCGGAAAGCUGGGACUCUGCGAGAACACACUUCCGUAUCCACCAGCGUAAUUUGGAUAACCUGGAUAUACUGAGAGUCCUGGAUAAAUGCCACCAAUUCCACCACCCCAACCAGGUCCUGUACUAGUGCCCAGGUUAAAUCCCCAGCUCCUCGAAAUAGGCCCGACCGUCGGCAAGCAUUCCAAAUGAUACAUAACGCAUGAUAUCAGCAACUGAAUAAGGAAAAUGGGUUAAUAAGUACGUCAUAGCGUAACUGGAGUAGACCACGUUGCAGUCGUCGAAGAGCAAAAGCUAUUUUGGAGAACGGUCACCAUCUCGAGUGCAUCUUAUAUAGUGGCUACGGCCCACGAGAAGGAUGGAUCCAUCUUAGAGUUUACAGUGAGGAGUCUGUUGACGAAGGCCACGUAUCGGAAGGAUUUUGUUCCCAUGUUGGUUCCCCAAAAGAUUUUUCGGGAUGGUGAUAAUCCUCAGGAGGUUCAAAUUCUGGUAUUCUCCACGGAUGAACUUCUUUUUUUGGAGGUGUAUUACGGUUGUUUGGUCUUGGGUGAAACUGAUGAAAUGGAGGAGACGGUGGAAACAUUGCAUUAGGACCUGAAUGAGGACGACGAUGAUAAUGCAAAUGAUAACGAUGAGAGUGAUAAUGAUCUGUAGGACCAUCCAAAUUUCUCUUGAACCCUGAGUCAAAAUUCUCAGAUGAGCGUUUCUGAAAGGAAAAAUUAUAUGUGCGAUUUGAGAGAGCGUUAUACAUAGACAAUAUAAUAAAAUUUUUAUCUAAACUUACCACGACCUCGGAUGAUGAGGUCGACACCAGUAAAACAUUCCACAGGCAUAUCGGAAGCACGCAGAAUUUUAUUUUCAUGCUUAUGUCGGAUAUGAAUUACGAAGCAGAUUAAAGUAGAAUAGAUUACUAAUAGGUGAAACAGAAGUAGAACUGAACAACAACUCACCACCAAUAGUCGCGGUUACAUACUGAAUUGGGGAAAGGCUCGUAACCUCCUUUUAUGCAAACUCGAAUCAGCACGUUAUUGUUGGCACAUACGAAAAACCCAGCUAUGAGUAUUCAUUUAUACAUUAUCUAUGUGGAAUAUAAUGUAAUCAAUAGGGUAUUGACAUCUUUUUUUUUACUUCGGAUAUUUUAACACUAAUAAAUUCGUGGAACUUG